rnacentral:tRNA from 1 species
GAAAUAAUUAAAAGUUAGAUUUCUAAUCUAUAAAUAAAUGGCUAUCAUUUUUAUUUCU